AAACGACUCUCGGCAACGGAUAUCUCGGCUCUCGCAUCGAUGAAGAACGUAGCGAAAUGCGAUACUUGGUGUGAAUUGCAGAAUCCCGUGAACCAUCGAGUUUUUGAACGCAAGUUGCGCCCGAAGCCUUUUGGCCGAGGGCACGUCCGCCUGGGUGUCACGC
rnacentral:rRNA from 1 species